rnacentral:misc_RNA from 1 species
GAUGAAGAACGUAGCGAAAUGCGAUAAGUAAUGUGAAUUGCAGAAUUCAGUGAAUCAUCGAAUCUUUGAACGCACAUUGCGCGCCCUGGUAUUCCGGGGGGCAUGCCUGUUCGAGCGUCAUUUCACCACUCAAGCCUCGCUUGGUAUUGGGCAACGCGGUCCGCCGCGUGCCUCAAAUCGACCGGCUGGGUCUUCUGUCCCCUAAGCGUUGUGGAAACUUUCGCUAAAGGGUGUUCGGGAGGCUACGCCGUAAAACAACCCCAUUUCUAAGGUUGACCUCGGAUCAGGUAGGGAUACCCGCUGAACUUAAGCAUAUCAAUAAGCGGAGGA